rnacentral:rRNA from 1 species
GACGAACGCUGGCGGCGUGCCUAACACAUGCAAGUAGAACGGUAAGGCAGUAGCUUUCUCUUCUGGAUGAGUUGCGAACGGGUGAGUAACGCGUAGGUAACCUGCCUGGUAGUUGGGGAUAACUAUUGGAAACGAUAGCUAAUACCGCAUAAGAGCAGAUGUUGCAUGACAUUUACUUAAAAGGUGCAAUUGCAUCACUACAAGAUGCACCUGCGUUGUAUUUGCUUGUUGGUGGGGUAACGGCUUACCAAGGCGAGGGUACAGCGCCGACCUGCGAAGGGGGUCAGCCAGACUGGGAGUGUGACACGGCACAGACUCCUUCGGGAAGGAGCCGGAGGGAAACUUCGGCCAUGGGCGGAAAUCUGACCGAGCAACGCCGCGGGAGUGAAGAAGGUCUUCGGGUCGUAAAGGUCUGUUUUAAGGGAAGAACGAGCGUGAGAGUGGAAAGUUCACGCUGUGACGGUAUCUUACCAAAAAGGAACGGCUAACUACGUG